AACGGAACGAUUUUUACUUUUAGUUGGCGGACGGGUGGAGUAACGCGUGGGUAACCGCCUUAUACAGGGGAGUAACACUUAGAAAUAGGUGCUAAGACCGCAUAAGCGCCCAGGGCCGCAUGGCCCAGGGUGAAAAACUCCGGUGGUAUAAGAUGGGCCCGCGUCUGAUUAGCCAGUUGGCAGGGUAACGGCCUACCAAAGCGACGAUCAGUAGCCGGCCUGAGAGGGUGGACGGCCACAUUGGGACUGAGACACGGCCCAAACUCCUACGGGAGGCAGCAG
rnacentral:rRNA from 1 species